GGUGGGGUUUACAGGGGGGAGGGUUUGGUUGAUCCAGUAAAGUCUGUUUUAGGGUGACGGGUGACAUCUAUGCGUUAAAAUCACCCAAAGUGGCGAAGGCGCCAAAGAUUAAACUAAAGAAGAUAUGUUUGAGAAGCUCGCCCUCGAUCAGACUGAUUUUGUUGUUUGAAAACGAAUAAAAUAAAUAAAUAAAUGAAAAUUCUGUGAACUGAAUCAACGCAGCAUGAUGUGGAGGGAAACAGUUGAUGAAUGGUAUUACUCUGGGACGAACCAGGCAGAAAUGUAACUGCUAAUGCUUCACCGUGAGUGUAUUUUGGAAGUAAAUUAUUUAUUACCAGCAAUCAAUUUGGGAUGUUAUAUGGCACACGGUCAUGAUAAAUGGACCCCUCCCCCUUUGAAAGUCGAUUCUGGAGGGAGUGCACAAUGGAAACCACCAGUUUAACUCGAAUAAAAAAAUAAUAACAAUAAUCAAUUACACUCCAAACAGAUGUCCUGGUAAAACAGGGUGAAAUGUAAACACACAUCAGUAAUGAGCUCCAGUUUAGUAAUAGACAUAACAUCCCGAUGCGUAGGUUGUGAAAGAGCGCGCGUCGGCUUGGCCGCAUCGAAAUUUCAUAACCUUGAAAACUCUUUACGCGCCUGUUUACACUGUGACUUAACAAGCAAUCGUAUGCUCAUUUAGAUCACUGCUUUUUAUCGCUGGUGCCCUCGGUGGCACUAGAGAUUCAACAAGAUUUCCGUCCCCCCUUUCGUUUUUAAAAACACUUUUUGUCACAUGCGCUUGACUGCCACAUGGCAUACUCCAACCACGAACCCAUUCUUAUCACUACAGAGUUCAAACCAGCCAAUAGCACUGUAAAGGGGGGUGGUGGGGGGGGAUUCACUUCCGCAUCAGCCAGGGAGGUAAAGAAAAAAACAAAAAAAAACAUACAAGGUCACCUGACUGUGCUCGGCGCCAUCUUGCCCGCAAAACACAACGCAUUCCAAAUAAUGAAAAUACCAUUUAUUGACCGUUAAAACGAACAAAAAAUAUAAUAAUAGACGUUACCUAUUAUUGUGGUGAUUUCUGUGUGUCGCUCCGCUACCCCUUAGAAAGAAAAAAAACAGUAGAGCAAUUGCCUGGCGUGUGAUUGUUUUCACAAACGCGCCGGCACGAGAGAGCGCAUUGCACAGACGACUCUCGGCUUUUAUCAUGGAUUUUUUUUUUCGAAUUCGGUUCAUAGCAGGGAUGUUUUGCCUUUGAAGGAAGUAAAAAAAAAAAAAUCUUCUUCUCUCGAUCUGGCCACUUAUUCCGACUGGCGCAAGCAACGCUCAUCUCAAGCUCUUUGGAGUGUACUUGCGCAUUAGUGGAGAGCAUUUUCUCCUCUGGGUGUGUCUGCCGCGUGCUCGGAGCGCCCUUUGCUGCAGCGCGCGUGCUGUUCACACACACUGCGUGCGCGAGGUGCGCAAAGCCACGGCGAGCUCUCACACACACAAGCUCGGUCUGGGCACGCGACACUCUCCACGCACCACUAUCGCGUGCGUGAACGGCUCGUAAACGUCACAGGAGCGGACAUGGUCAACUAUGCAAACAUGAGUACGGACAUGAAGGAAACGGCAUCUUUGCCGUGGGAUAAGGCAGAUGAUGAAGGGCGAGUUAGGCUAUGGAAUGUCACAAAGGGCACAUCUGUGGUUUAACAGCACUCGAGCGCAUUUAGUCCGUUUGCAUAAGCUACGAAUGCAAAAGGCUGCUCUGAGAAGCAACCCCGGGAUGCACAGGGUGCACCUACGCAAAAUGUGCAUCUGCAAAAGCGCUGAGAGUGAUGCAAAGGAGAUUUUAAUGACGUGUCACCAUAAACCAAGACGGUGAUUCACCCAGUGCAAUCUAAGAACCAACACCCUCUGCUGCUAUGUUAUAUAAUACAUUUGGUUUAUGUGUUUUCUUUGAAAUCUAAGGCUGGCAUUUUGUUUUCUUCUAGUAGUUUCAUCAACACUUGCUCCCACUGUGUACUGCUGAGUGAAACCACUAGAUGGCGCUAGUUCAUACCUCAAGAAUUUCCGGAGUUGACUAGAAACGCAGUUGCGUGUAAAACUUGGGCAUCUCAUAUGGUCUGUGAAUGACAGAAAGGAAAAUGUACAUCAGUUUCGACUACAGUUCAUCUACAAAUGGAGCCAGAAACACUGGGAGUGAGGCACGAAUUGACCCAGAAUGGGAAACAAGUCCUAUAUCCACCUACCUGGAUGUUUUUGGAAGGAAACCAGAGGAAAUUCAACAAGAUCAUGCAUAGAGAUGUCACACAGACAGCUCAGGAAUUCAGGAGCCACAGACCUGAGGUGAAGCAGCACCGUUUCCGGCUGCAUGACAUUAAUACAACGUGCAAGGUGAAAUCGAGAAAAAAAGUAGAACCAAAAGUCAGAAAUCAGAGUUUUGUAAUGAAGCUCUUAGUUUCCAGACUUGAUUUGAAGAAGGCAUGGUACAGGUUUGUAUCAUAACUGGGGCAGUCAGGUUAUUACACAGUUAUAAUAGGAAAUAGUUUGCUUUCAUGUUAUUUUAGAAUGUUUUCAUCAGAAAAGAAAAAGCAAACCUGUGAUCUGAUAUCAUUUAGAUGUUUUUUUCUUGCUCUAUUUAAUAAAUGCUAUUUGGCAUGCAAUCUGUUAUUUGUUUUGAUAAUGAAGACCGCAUGGUGGCACAGCAGGUAGUGAUGCUGCCUCACAGUUCCAGGAUUCCUGAUUCGAUCCUGAGCUCAAGAUUUAGUCGAGAAUAUUCUCUCAGAGUUGUGUGUGUGUGUGUGACAGACUAGUAUCUGGUAGUUAAGGUGUUGGACUCCUGAUAGGAACGUUGGGAGUUCAAAUCCCAGGUCCACCAAGCAGCCCUUAAGAAAGGCCCUUAACCCUCAAUUGCUCAGUUGUAUAAAAUGAGAUGAAAUGUAAGUCACCCUGGAUAAGGGUGUCUGCUAAAAUGCCCAUUGU